GACCCUUUGACCCUUCUUGCACCGCAACGUCGGUGAUCGC
rnacentral:rRNA from 8 species